ncrna:Vibrio genomosp. F10 str. 9ZB36 DABA-DC-AT RNA
GCAAUCUCGGAGCACUUAUUAAUGCAUUACUCUGGGGGAUACUCGUAACGUACAUUCGGCUGAUUGUCUCGUUGCGUAGGGUAGGUAUCAGCAAGCCCUUGUUGAUAGACGGGAUAUUUUUGUUGCAUUGGCAACAGAUGAGAGAGAAACCCAACA